rnacentral:rRNA from 1 species
AUUGAACGCUGGCGGCAGGCCUAACACAUGCAAGUCGAACGAAGUCUUCGGACUUAGUGGCGGACGGGUGAGUAACACGUGGGAACGUGCCUUUAGGUUCGGAAUAACUCAGGGAAACUUGUGCUAAUACCGAAUGUGCCCUUCGGGGGAAAGAUUUAUCGCCUUUAGAGCGGCCCGCGUCUGGUUAGCUAGUUGGGGAGGUAAAGGCUCACCAAGGCGACGAUCAGUAGCUGGUCUGAGAGGAUGAUCAGCCACAUUGGGACUGAGACACGGCCCAAACUCCUACGGGAGGCAGCAGUGGGGAAUCUUGCGCAAUGGGCGAAAGCCUGACGCAGCCAUGCCGCGUGAAUGAUGAAGGUCUUAGGAUUGUAAAAUUCUUUCACCGGGGACGAUAAUGACGGUACCCGGAGAAGAAGCCCCGGCUAACUUCGUGCCAGCAGCCGCAGUAAGAC